rnacentral:lncRNA from 1 species
AAAAUAAUUAAAUAAAAAUGGGGCGUUACACCGUGUCUGCAUUCUGAUCGGAGAAGACAACUUCAUUCACCAAAACAUUCUUCGAGGUAACAUUAUUUCGAUUGUUUAAUAGCAAUUUUUCCCCUUUUCCAUAAAUUUUUGCGUUUACAGUAACAGUUGAAACGUGGCUCAGGCAAGGAACAGUUACGGCGACGACAAGGGGGAGAAGCAGCGACAAUGAUAAUGGUGAGAGGAGGAGAAGGAAGAAUGAAACACUGUUGUGUACCAGGAGAGGAAACGCGUGUGGCCUUUGUUUUCCAUUAAACAAAGCAUUUUCUAAACCUUUUAAUCUCGGCCUUUGGUUCUAUUUUAGCAACAUGUCACACAUCCAAGAAGUAAAAAGGAGUAAAUGGAGGCUCUCUAAAUGGAGCAAAGAUGGACUCAAUGGUUA